UAUCCAUUCCUUCGCCUAUCAGUUUCAAAAUGAUCCUUGCUUGGUUCUAUGUUACUGGCAAUGAUAGAUUAACAUCACUGAAGCUUCAGCUAAAAUUUGCAAUAAGGUAACAGUCGUCAAUUCUUCUAAUAUAGUCUAUUUAAACAUUUGUGGGAAGCUUCGGUUAAACAUUCUAUGUACUAAUCCCAUUAUGUCGGCCGUUUCAACUUAAAACCCAGGUGCGUAUCUCUUUGUGAUUUGUUUCCCAUUCAGUAUUGCUUUUAAUUUGCUUCUAUAACAUUUGAAAGUUUUAUUUUGCAAUUUUUUUUGUGGUUCAAGUAUUUUUUUAUUUCUACGUUGGCCGCUGGGAGCUCUUGGAUUUUUAUUUUAUUUUAUUUUUUUUGAAAAUUUUACUUUUGCAGGGUUGGGUUUUAUUGAAUUGGGUUUUCCUUGACACCUGAUGCAACUCUUUUAUUGCCUGAACAAAGUCAAGAUCUUGAAUUGUUUUGGUAACCCUUUCCUUUUGUGUUGUGCUUUUUUUAAUUUUGAUUUCCGAAGUACAUCAAUUGCAAUUAUUUUAGUACAAAAUUAGUAAACAUAUUAUUAUUUUGUUAAUAAAAGGUAAAUUGAUGACUAGAAAUUGGACGUGUUUGUUUCCUUACCUUCCAAUAAUGUGGAAUUUUUUUCAUCUAAUUAGAAUUUCGCCCUUAAGAAUCACCUUUUCAUCUGGCAAGUUUCUUCUUAAGUCUCCAUAACUUAUCCUUUUGAUGCGGGAAUAAUAGGAUAGAAAGCUUGCCCAAUAAGCUGACCUUUUUGGAAUUUCCGAGGAUGAACCAGUGGCAAAAAAAUUAUUACUUUUCGUAUAUUUUUUUGCAAUACCUCCUUGUUACUCCAUUAGUGAAGUUUCUUAUCUUAUCAAAAAUAAAAAAGGAGUAAAAAAGAAGUAUUUCCUUAGGAUUACUUAUUGUGGCUAUUAUCUUUCUUAUCUCCUGCUUUAUUCUCAAUGUUUUGUAUCAGGUGGAGCCUUUUGUCGGAGCUCUAAAACCAAAAUAUAAGAUUGAACUUCUUCCGUAAGAUUCACUUUUUCAUCCGG
rnacentral:lncRNA from 1 species